GGUUAAGUUAAUAAGGGCGCACGGUGGAUGCCUUGGCACUAGAAGCCGAAGAAGGACGUGACUAACGACGAAAUGCCUUGGGGAGCUGUAAGUAAGCAAUGAUCCAGGGGUGUCCGAAUGGGGGAACCCGGCAGGUAAUGCCUGUCACUCACUACUGUUAAGGUAGUGAAGAGGAAGACGCAGUGAACUGAAACAUCUAAGUAGCUGCAGGAAGAGAAAGCAAAAGCGAUUGCCUUAGUAGCGGCGAGCGAAACGGCAGGAGGGCAAACCGAGGAGUUUACUCCUCGGGGUUGUAGGACUGCAAUGUGGACUUAAAGAGUAUAGAAGAACUACCUGGGAAGGUAGGCCAAAGAGAGUAAUAGCCUCGUAUUUGAAAUAAUCUUUAUACCUAGCAGUAUCCUGAGUACGGCGAGACACGCGAAAUCUCGUCGGAAUCUGGGAGGACCAUCUCCCAACCCUAAAUACUCUCUAGUGACCGAUAGUGAACCAGUACCGUGAGGGAAAGGUGAAAAGUACCCCGGAAGGGGAGUGAAAUAGAACCUGAAACCGUGUGCCUACAACAAGUUCGAGCCCGUUAAUGGGUGAGAGCGUGCCUUUUGUAGAAUGAACCGGCGAGUUACGAUAUGAUGCGAGGUUAAGUUGAAGAGACGGAGCCGUAGGGAAACCGAGUCUUAAUAGGGCGCAUUAGUAUUAUGUCGUAGACCCGAAACCAUGUGACCUACCCAUGAGCAGGUUGAAGGUGCGGUAAGACGCACUGGAGGACCGAACCAGGGCACGUUGAAAAGUGCUUGGAUGACUUGUGGGUAGCGGAGAAAUUCCAAACGAACUUGGAGAUAGCUGGUUCUCUCCGAAAUAGCUUUAGGGCUAGCGUCGACAUUGAGAAUCUUGGAGGUAGAGCACUGUUUGGAUGAGGGGGCCAUCUCGGUUUACUGAUUUCAGAUAAACUCCGAAUGCCAAUGAUUUAUGGUCGGCAGUCAGACUGCGAGUGCUAAGAUCCGUAGUCGAAAGGGAAACAGCCCAGACCACCAGCUAAGGUCCCAAAAUAAUUGUUAAGUGGAAAAGGAUGUGGGGUUGCACAGACAACUAGGAUGUUAGCUUAGAAGCAGCUAUUCAUUCAAAGAGUGCGUAAUAGCUCACUAGUCGAGUGACCCUGCGCCGAAAAUGUACCGGGGCUAAAACAAUUUACCGAAGCUGUGGAUAACACUUUAGUGUUAUGGUAGGAGAGCGUUCUAUGUGUGAAGAAGGUAUACCGUGAGGAGUGCUGGAACGCAUAGAAGUGAGAAUGCCGGUAUGAGUAGCGAAAGAUGGGUGAGAAUCCCAUCCACCGUAAGACUAAGGUUUCCAGGGGAAGGCUCGUCCGCCCUGGGUUAGUCGGGACCUAAGGAGAGACCGAAGGGUGUAUCCGAUGGACAACAGGUUGAUAUUCCUGUACUAGAGUAUGAAGUGAUGGAGGGACGCAGUAGGCUAACUAAAGCGGGCGAUUGGAAGUGCCCGUCUAAGCAGUGAGGUGUGAUAUGAGUCAAAUGCUUGUAUCUAUAACAUUGAGCUGUGAUGGGGAGCGAAGUUAAGUAGCGAAGUUAGUGACGUCACACUGCCAAGAAAAGCUUCUAGCGAUGUAUCAUACUCUACCCGUACCGCAAACCGACACAGGUAGUCGAGGCGAGUAGCCUCAGGUGAGCGAGAGAACUCUCGUUAAGGAACUCGGCAAAAUGACCCCGUAACUUCGGGAGAAGGGGUGCUGACUUAAAGUCAGCCGCAGUGAAUAGGCCCAAGCAACUGUUUAUCAAAAACACAGCUCUCUGCUAAAUCGUAAGAUGAUGUAUAGGGGGUGACGCCUGCCCGGUGCUGGAAGGUUAAGAGGAGGG
rnacentral:rRNA from 1 species